rnacentral:ncRNA from 2 species
AGUAAAGUAGAGGGUGCAGGUGCCGCCCCAGCGGAGAAUAGGGAAAACGGUUGAAAACCGUGCGGCCCCGCCACUGUGAUCGGCAGAAUUCUCGGACUUUGCUCAGCCCGAGAAUUAAGAAACGAGCCCAUGUUGGCCACUGGGGAGAAAAUUCCGGGAAGGCCGGCUCGUUUCAUCGCUGAGAGCCAGGAGACCUGCCUGUACCCUGCGAAACAU